AGAAAAUAAUCGGACAGUUGGCUCUCGGAAGUCCCUUCGUUCCUCCUGCUCCGAGGACAGACUCCGACAGACUGACUGACUCAGCCGAGCGCAGCGAGAGGGCGGGAGCGCGAGCGCGCAGGCGCACAAAGGGCUCCGAAGCGGGCGGCGGUCGGGUCUAGGCGCCCAGCGACGCAGGGCGCAAGCGCAAGAACUGUCCCUCCGCGCUCCUGCGGAGAAGGAGGGGCAAAACUGGCUACAGCAAGCGCCAGCGAGAGAAGCUGGGCGGGCCGCGCCCCUCCGGGAACCAGACGCGAGAGGCGGGGCCAAACUCCAAGCCCCGCCCACCAUUGCAGCCGACGUGGGAGGGGGCCCUGCAGUUGGAGAAUGUUUUUCCCAUAAAUUCCGGAGCGGAUGUCUUUUGUCUGAUGCGUUCCUGACUGUGACGCCAAUGAAAAGUGAAAACCAGAAUGUGGAUAUAGACCCAUAUGCAAGGUGCUUUAUGAAAUUUUUCUGGAUGUGUCGUAAUAUCACCGUGAGGCAGAGAUGGCACGGGCUCUCACUUGCGGUUCCUUGAGGGCUUUGAUCAUCAGGGCGGAGGCAGGAGGUACCACUUUAGUCUGGGCCUGUCUGUUCUGAUUGGUGAGUUUCAGUGUAAUCCUCAGACCUUUCCAAUCACCGGUUGCCUCGGCGAUGUCAUCACCAGACUUUUUUGGAGACAGACCCAGUGGGCCAGGGCAGACGUGGUACCGACUUCGCCAUCAGUGCACCUCAGGAGUUGUUUUCUGAGCUGUGACGAAUCCUAAAGACUACCUAUAACUUGUACUGUGUUGUUCCAACUGCAGCUGCCACUGACUUUGGUGAUAUAUGGAGACAGAUGAAAUGUCAGCAUUUGCUAGUCACUUCCUGACAGGAUGGAUUUCAGUGGAUCUCUGUUGAGAGCCCUUAAAAUAGAACAGGGUAUUUUGUUCAAAAGCAGAAGUUAGGGACUCACUGUUAGGAGAGCAAGAAAGUGAGUGAGCAGUGUUGUGUGUCACAUAGCCCUUAUUUAUCCAUUCAAUAAAUAUUGGAGUUUCUCCUAA